CUGGCACGGCCACACAAUGAGACAGUCCAGGUGUCUGUGGACAGGUGACUGGGCUGGCACAGCCACACAAUGAGACAGUCCAGGUGUCUAUGGACAGGUGACUGGGCUGGCACAACCACACAACGAGACAGUGCAGGUGUCUGUGGACAGGUGACUGGGCUGGCACGGCCACACAAUGAGACAGUCCAGGUAUCUAUGGACAGGUGAUGGGGCUGGCAUAGCCACACAAUGAGACAGUCCAGGUGUCUGUGGACAGGUGACUGGGCUGGCACGGCCACACCAUGAGACAGUCCUCAGUCCUGAACCACUGGUCAACACAACAGUAUUGAUAAAUCUCAAGGUGAUGGUGCU